UUUUGAAGAAAGUAUCAUUUUACUAACCAACUGCAGAUCUCAUGAUUGAGUGUGCUGCAAAGCUUAUCACUAUUAAUUUACAAGCAUUUACCUUUGAUUAAAUGCAUAUAUGUACAAUGUAAGUAGCCAUGUAUAGCAUCAUGUUACAGGCAUUUACCAAGAUAUAUAUAUUAGCACAAAUUGCAACUAUAUAUAUACAUUAUAUAUAUACCAAUGCAUGUUGAAACAACUAUAACAGACACUUCAUCAAAUGCCUUGGCACUUGUCAGAAAUCACAUUUCAUAUGUACUCGCCGUUAGACUAUUUGUUCAUCAGCCGGAGCAUAAUGAGC
rnacentral:lncRNA from 1 species